rnacentral:tRNA from 1 species
GCCGCUGUGGUGAAAUUGGUAGACACGCAUGACUCAAAAUCAUGUGGGGGCGACUCCAUGUCGGUUCGAGUCCGACCAGCGGCAC